CCGUAGCUCAGUUGGAUAGAGCAACAGCCUUCUAAGCUGUGGGUCGUGGGUUCGAAUCCCUCCGGGCACGCCA
rnacentral:tRNA from 1 species